rnacentral:rRNA from 1 species
UAGCAUAUCAAUAAGCGGAGGAAAAGAAACCAACAGGGAUUCCCUUAGUAACGGCGAGUGAACCGGGAAAAGCUCAAAUUUGAAAUCUGCCAACAGGCCGAGUUGUAAUUUGUAGAUGGCUACACUGCAUAAUAGUAGAUGCUCAAGUUCUUUGGAAAAAGACAUCAUGGAGGGUGACAAUCCCGUGAGGCAUGUUACUAGGAGCAUAUAGUGGGCUUUCUAAGAGUCGAGUUGUUUGGGAAUGCAGCUCAAAGUGCGUGGUGAAUACCAUGUAAAGCUAAAUAUGGACGAGAGACCGAUAGCGAACAAGUACUGUGAAGGAAAGAUGAAAAGCACUCCGAAAGGAGAGUGAAAUAGUACGUGAAAUUGUUAAAGUGGAAGGGCUUGAGAUCAGAAUUGGUAGUUUGGGUUCCACGUCCUCUUGGGGGCGUGUACUCCCUUUCCACCGGGCCAGCGGGAGUUUCGUCUCUUGGGUAAAAGCAGUGGAAUGUAGCAGCUUGUCUGUAUUAUAGCCUCUGUUCAUACAAGACGUCGAGACUUGAUUUGUUGGCGUAAUGAUCUCUAGCCACCCGUCUUGAAACACGGACCAAGGAGUCUAUUGCCUAUGCGAGUGUUUGGGUGGAAAACCCUUGCGCGUAAUGAAAGUGAAAAGAUCAGGGCUCUUUUUUGAGUGCACGAUCGACCGAUCUUGACGAUUUUCAGAUGGAUUUGAGUAAGAGCAUAGUUGAUGGGACCCGAAAGAUGGUGAACUAUACUUGGCGAGGGCGAAGCCAGAGGAAACUCUGGUGGAGGUCCGUAGGGGUUCUGACGUGCAAAUCGAUCCUCUCAGCUGAGUAUGGGGGGCGAAAGACUAAUCGAACCAUCUAGUAGCUGGUUCCCUCCGAAU